UAGGUCUGAGGUGUGGGUGGGAGCCCGGGACAAGAGCGGGCGAUGGCGGGGGAAGGAUGAGUGUGAAGAAUGAUAGUCAUUUGGACUUCUUUGUGCAAUCACUUUGAUGAAUACCAAACUUAAGUGUAACGCCAGUCUCCAAGUAUGACUUCAGUCUACAAGGGUGAUAUCAGAGGGCACAGAGUGUGACUUCAGUCUGCAAACACAAGGCAGGCCUUCAGGAGAGACCCCAGUUGCAUGUAGGAGAAUUCCAGAAGCCAUCUAGCAAUACCACACUCCAGCAUGAGACACAACUCAAAGGGCGUCCACCAGCAGUAGAGAACGCUGGGCUUUGGGCAUCACGUGGCCUCUUGAGGGUCAUUAAGCCUGAGGCGGGAGUUCAUCUUGAGACAUCCGUCAGUGCACCAUUUUAAGCCUAGGACAUCCAUAUGGGAGUCAGUUUCAGCCUGAGACAUACCUUCGGACACCUGAUCAGCUUGAAAUAUGAAACGUCCUGCCUCAUUUUAGGCUGAGCCCACAUUUGCUCGGAAACUCAUUUCAGUCUCUCAGAAGUCUGGGCACUUCAGUCACGCUGGCUUCUUGCCCAUCACUCCAAGGUCACCCUCAAAGAAGCAGGUCACUCCAGCGUAAAACAUGGAGACUGCAGUGUCACAUUGGACUUCAGUCUGAGAUGUCACAUGAAAGCCUGAGAUGUCACACGAAGUAGGAAUGGGUCGUAGUUACACUUGAACGGGUCUUGUCAGCCUGUCACAUUGGUUUCAUUUUCAAAUAAUUAAUUGUGUCCUUAAUCUUCAGUUGUAGGCCUAUACAAAUUAUCUAUCCGUGUGUGUGUAUCGACAUGUUUAUUGUAUUAUUAUCCAGUUAUAUUAUGCAAUUGCAACACUGUAGUUAACUGUUGCCUUUGUUUUUCAAUAUGUGCUUGUUUCAUAAAGAUCUGCCAUUUAUUAUCUCUCAAAUUCCUUUGCUAUUUUGCAUUCCAUUAUUUAUUGAGUGAAGGCAAUGCGUU